GGGAAAUGUAGCGUUCGGGAGGAGAACUCAACAUAUACACGCGCGGUCAUUAGUCACGGCUGCCUGUCCAAGUUCAUCUUGAACGGGGCCCGCUUACCCGUAGAGGGUGCCAGGCCCGUGGUGACGGUAGCCGGCCGCGACGGUCUCCCUCCCAAGAGUCGGGUUGCUUGAGAGUGCAGCCCUAAGCGGGUGGUAAACUCCAUCUAAGGCUAAAUACUACCACGAGACCGAUAGCGAACAAGUACCGUGAGGGAAAGUUGAAAAGAACUUUGAAGAGAGAGUUCAAGAGUACGUGAAACCGUUCAGGGGUAAACCUGUGGAACUCAAACGAGCGAACGGGGAGAUCAUCGCUCUCCGCCGUGUGCCCGCGACGUCGUCGUCUAUCUCCGCGCGCCGCACCGUCCGUUCGCGGGCGGUCGUGUGCGCGUCGGGGGGCGCGAUGUCGCAGUCAGGUCACCGGAGUGCGUGCACUUCUCCCUCAGUAUAACACCGCGACCCGUUUCGCCUCGGUCGAAUGCAGCCGCUCGGACGUCCCGCCCCGCAAUGCGGGGCGGAGCCGGGGCUCGCACGGCCCUGUCGAGGGACGGUACACAAUCACAGUGGGACGCGUCGGCCGAUUAUUUUAGCGGCGUCCGCCCGGCGGUAGCGGCCCGCGGACCGCGUACGAUCCGUGGCGUCUUUGUUGCGCCCGGUCCCCGUGCGCGGCCACCGCGGCCGUCUGCUGUCGUGGUCAGGACAGCGUUUCGUUACGCGGACGCGACCCCGUCAGCGGUGGGUUUGUUUUGGGCACUCACAGGACCCGUCUUGAAACACGGACCAAGGAGUCUAGCAUGUGCGCGAGUCAUUGGGAAUUUUACACUAGACCCAGAGGCGCAAUGAAAGUGAAAGCCGCAAGGCGCAGGGAAGAUGCGGGGUCGGCGCGAGCUGCCCCGUCGCAUUCCCGAGGCGUUUCGAGAAANNNNNNNNNNNNNNNNNNNNNNNNNNNNNNNNNNNNNNNNNNNNNNNNNNNNNNNNNNNNNNNNNNNNNNNNNNNNNNNNNNNNNNNNNNNNNNNNNNNNGCAAAUCGAUCGUCGGAACUGGGUAUAGGGGCGAAAGACUAAUCGAACUAUCUAAUAGCUGGUUCCAUCCGAAGUUUCCCUCAGGAUAGCUGGCGUUCAUUAAUUUAUAUUUUUCAGUCUCAUCCGGUAAAGCGAAUGAUUAGAGGCAUUGGGGCCGAAACGGCCUCAACCUAUUCUCAAACUUUAAAUGGGUGAGAUCUCCGUCUUGCUCGAAAUGUGAAGUCGGAGCUCGGAUGGGAGUGCCAAGUGGGCCAAUUUUGGUAAGCAGAACUGGCGCUGUGGGAUGAACCAAACGUCGAGUUAAGGCGCCCAAUGAACGCUCAUCGGAGACCAUAAAAGGCGUUGGUCGCUAGAGACAGCAGGACGGUGGCCAUGGAAGUCGGAAUCCGCUAAGGAGUGUGUAACAACUCACCUGCCGAAGCAACCAGCCCUGAAAAUGGAUGGCGCUGUAGCGUUCAGCCUAUACUCGACCGUCGCAGGCAAUAGGGGCGUUUCGCCUUGUGCGCAAUCGCCUUGAGGCCGCGACGAGUAGGAUGGCCGCGGCGGUGAGCGCAGAAGGGUCUGGGCGUGAGCCCGCCUGGAGCCUCCGUCGGCGCAGAUCUUGGUGGUAGUAGCAAAUACUCAAGCGAGGUCCUUGAGGGCUGAUGUGGAGAAGGGUUUCGCGUUAACAGCCGUUGCACGCGAGUUAGUCGAUCCUAAGCCCUAGGAGAAAUCCGAUGUUGAUGAUGGUGUAAAGUUUAUAUAUAUAUUUUUAUACAUUACUAAAUACACCCGUCGGGCGAAAGGGAAUCCGGUUGCAGUUCCGGAACCCGGCUGCGGAACCGUCUUAAAAAUCGUUCCCUCGUUCCACGAGUGCGUUCGUCGGGGCAACCCAAAAUGGCCUGAAGACGCCGACGGGAGAUCCGGAGAGAGUUAUCUUUUCUGCCUGAGCGUUCGAGCGCCCUGGAAUCCUAUAGCGGGGAGAUAGGGCUCGGGACGCGAAGAGCAUCGCCGAUGCGGCGGUGUCCGGAUCGGCCCCUCGGACCUUGAAAAUUCAGGUGAGGGACACGGUGGAGAUGUCGCGCCGGCUCGUACCCAUAUCCGCAGCAGGUCUCCAAGGUGAAGAGCCUCUAGCCGAUAGAAUAAUGUAGGUAAGGGAAGUCGGCAAGUUGGAUCCGUAACUUCGGGAUAAGGAUUGGCUCUGAGGACCGUGGCGUGUCGGGCCUGGUCGGGAAGGGGGUAUCGGCCGAGACCUGGAAGCCGGACGCGCGCGGAGCCGGGCAUUUAUGUUCGGUCAAACCGUGUCUGCCGGCGCCUCGCUUUGGCCUCCCCCCGGAUCUUCCUCGCUGUGUGGCGCCGCACGCGUUCGCGCGCGCGCGGCCGCCUGUACGGCCGCCGGACGACGGUCAACUCAGAACUGGCACGGACAAGAGGAAUCCGACUGUCUAAUUAAAACAAAGCAU
rnacentral:rRNA from 1 species